UACAUGACAAAACACACCUAAAUUUACAUAUAUAUAUAUCAACCCACACUCACAACUCACCUGGUCAAUGCCGCGUCCACGACACUGUAAUAUAAUGACCUCUAGAAGUUUGGCAGCAUGGCAUUCUGGGUCUUCCCCAGCAUCACUAGUUAGGACCUGGGGGGUGAGAGGUCAAAAGGUCAAAUGCCAAAUGCAUAUGGAAGAAUGACAAAAAAAAAAGCACUUUAAAUGGAAAAAUGUAAUAGAGGAAAUGCAUAUUAAGACCUUUUUGCACAUGGUGUAAAUGACCUCUAGGUAUUUGGGGUCUGACAGCAGCAUAUUUGUGUCCACGGUAACAUAAUUGUGCAAGAGGGGCAUCAUAUCUGCAUCAACAGGGUAAUAUAUCACAUCAUUAACCAUGUACUCAAUAUUGCGUCAAUCAUUUUCAAAAGACUCUCAUAAACACGCACAUCCAUCAACUUAAUGACUCUUUCAACCUAGUUCAAUCAUGACAUGAUUUAUAGCUUAAGGUGGAGCAGAGAGAUCAAGUCUGAGCUUGGCGCUCGGCUGCGUUUUACGCCACAGGUGAGGUAUCUGAGCUACAUGCGUGUCUGAGACCUGUGAAGUAGUCAAAGCAGUCAUGCUGGAAGACGUCGUACAGGACCCCCAACAGCUGCCACAUCUGAGGGGAGAUGGAAUAACAGGUUCUGUUUGACCAGCUCCACAGCGUUCCUCAGGACCAGCUCGUUAUGGAACUUCAGAGGACUGAACGAGUGCAGCACCCAGCACGACUGCACACACACCGCAGAGAGACCAGAAUUACGGCUCCAUGGAAACCAGUGUUGCUUUGAAGGACUCUUGACAGAUGCAGUUUUGAUAGCUAAAGCACUGGGCAAAACAUACUCUGAAAUUCAAUAGUCGUGGGUUGUUUGAGUGACCAAUUGGUCAUGUCCACCAGAAAUGGACUAUGAGCACAGACCAUUAAUAGGGUAAAUGGUACGAUAGUAGACAAAUAACCACGCUAAUUAACAACUUCAAUUGCACAAAACUAUUAGAGUUCUCAAAAAAACAACAACAACAAAAAACAAGACAGGAGCAUUUCUUACAGCAGGCAAUUUGAAAUUUGACAGUAAUUGUCUUGAAAUUUAUUGUUGGAGAUUUUGUUAAGAAUGCGGUGCUUUGAUGUCUGUAACGGCACCACUUUAGAGGGUUGAAUUUAUGGACACAAUUUCUCUGAGAUGGUUUUAUCAUGCUGACAGUUAGUCUAAUGGUUAGUUAUCAUGCCAAAACCCUCUCUGAGAAGAUCUUUACAUUUUUCAAAAUAAUGUAAUUUUUUAGAUUUAAAUAAAAUAUAAAUCUAAAUUUAUUUGUAUAGCGCUUUUCACAAUACACAUCGUUUCAAAGCAGCUUUACAGAAAAUGCAUGAGUCUACAUUACAAUUUAGAGUGAUCUGUUAUCAGAAGUGAAUGUAUCCAAGUAAUGUUCAUUUAACAAAUCAACAGUUCAAGGUAAUAGAAUCAUACAAUUUUAAUUAAGAAAACUUUAAAUGUAAAGAAAAACUCAAUAACUGACUAGUCUGUUGUUAAGAUGAUUAGUUGACCAUCCUGAC
ensembl:lncRNA